CCGAUUAUAGCUCAGUUGGUAGAGCAUGGGACUGUAGAAAAAUAGUCAUCCCAGGGUCCCCGGUUCGAAUCCGGGUGAUCGGA